UCAUAUGUAUUUUCUUAUCUUCUUCCCCACCUCCUCGAUCCAUCCAGCAGCCAUGGCCUCCCCGCAGGACCACCGCUCCGCCGCCGGCCGUCGCAGCGCCCGGCGCUGCUCGCGCUGGCCGUCCUCUCCGUCCUUCGCAGGCGACGCCAGCGCAAGGUCCAAGGGGGCGACGCCGGCAAGCCCUGCCUUCAUCUCCAGUUGUUUCGCUGCGGCCCCAUUGACUUUCUGCAGCCUCCGUGCAGUUUACCCGUGGCGACCUCGGCUCCGUUGUUUCCCAAGUGUUGUGUGUAGUGUCAAUCAAGGCGCUCGCGCUGGCCGUCGCAGCGCCCGGCGCCGCUCGCAGCAUCACCACUGCCGUGGACCCGAGGAGCGCGAGGCGGAGGCGGCGGGCGAGGUCGCCGGCGGGGAAGCGCGAGGCGGGGGCGAGGCGGAGCCGGCGGGCUAGGUGUUGGCGGGAGGUGUGGUGGGGCCACGGGAUGGGAUACAAGAGCAGAUGGACUUGCAUUUUUGCCUCGCGGUGCCCUUUGGAUACAAGACGAGAUAGAAGACGCGAUACAAGAGCUGUUAGAUGAGUUUUUUUUUGUCUUUAUUUUCUUAUUUAGCCAACUUACUCAAGAUACAAGAGCUCUUGGAGAUGUUCUUAUUUGCAAAAUUGGAGGCUCUAUUUUUUUUAAUCUAAUAUACGUAAUAUAUAAAUACAAAUUAAAUAA